UAACGUUCUCAGGGCGGGGUGAAAGUCCCCACCGGCGGUAAUGGCGCGCAAGGCGCCUAGCCCGCGAGCGCUUGCCGGACCGGCCACCGCCGGACGACAAGGUCAGCAGACCCGGUGCGAUUCCGGGGCCGACGGUCAUAGUCCGGAUAAAGAGAGAACGGGA
rfam:Pseudomonas aeruginosa PAO1, complete genome.